rnacentral:lncRNA from 1 species
GAACAAACGCCUACUGAUUCAUGCAGACACAGUCCUGGGUGAGGAGGACAGCUUCCAUUGCAGCUAUGCAGCACCCAGCUCAACAGGAAUGGGGAAUAACGUCAACAAAAGGAACAGAACUGGACCUUGCCUGAUGCAGACACACUGGGACUUGUCAGAGUUAUCAAAGCUCCCAGAAACGUUGCUCUUAGUACUAGCAGUGUGUGUGCC